rnacentral:rRNA from 1 species
UUCUUGGAGAGUUUGAUCCUGGCUCAGGACGAACGCUGGCGGCGUGCCUAAUACAUGCAAGUCGAGCGAAUCUUUGGGAGCUUGCUCCCAUUGGUUAGCGGCGGACGGGUGAGUAACACGUGGGCAACCUGCCUGUAAGGCUGGGAUAACACCGGGAAACCGGUGCUAAUACCGGAUAAUCCAUUUCCUCUCAUGAGGA